UGUUUCAAAUUUCAAAAAUGCUUUGGCCGUUCGUAUUCUAACCCCAACCCUAAUUUUUUUAAUUUUUUUUCUCUCUCCUCUCUCUUCUCUUUUCUUUCCUUUUCCUUUUUUUCUUUUUCUUUUCUCUUUCUUCCUCUUUCUCUUUCUCUCUCUAAGCUCUCGGCCUCCCUUACUUCUUCUCUCCCUCGCCGAAACAAAGCAAGCCACCACCACCCACUCAUCUCUCAAUCUCCAUCAACCGCGAACCAAACCCAAACUCCAUCUCUCUAUUCUCUGUCCGACAAAAUUAAAGCCCCAAAGUUUCCCCACUAUUCACGCCACCGCUGCCAUCUCCAUUGUUUCUGGCCGAAGCUCUUGGCGAAGGGUCAAGCCUCCCUUGUUCUUUCAAUCUCAGUCUAUCUCUAUCUCAAUCUCCGUCCAGUAAGGCCAAGGAGAUACCGGCACCCACCUGCAAUUUCCUGCAAGUUUUUUUGCGUCUUUUCAUCUUCUCUGGCCGCGAUUGGCCAGAAGCUCAUCGGAUUUUUCCCUCUCUGUUUUGAUUCCCUCUCUUGCGAUAGGUUGUUGAUUCCAAGUUUGGGGGAGACGUCUUUCAAAAUGGAUCAUUGCCAGACUUCAUAGACUUUUGCCACCAUGAUAUACUCUUUUCAUCUCUUCCAUUGUUCUCAUUGCACAUUGAGGACAAUGUGUGACUUAAGUUUGGGAUUAGUUAUGUUUUGAUAGGUCUUCAUGUCCAAGUUUGGGGGACGCCGUUGCGCACUCACAUGGCUGCACAUCUACGUCGUCGUCACUCCACUUGGUAUUAUUGUUCUUUUCCCCCCUUUGCUCUUAUUUUGGUAUGCUUGUCUUCACACAUUGAGGACACUGUGUUAUUCAAGUUUAGGGGUGCAUUUAUGCAUUUUUGGUUUUGCAUUUUUGCUAAGCAAUGAUAGUAUAACUUGACACUAGUUGGAGAUGAAGCAUAUGUUUAAUACCUUGUGUAUAGAAGCAAUUGACAUUUUUGAAAAUAAAGAAAAAUUUGAGUUGAAAUGAUCAUGUGGAUUCAAAUCAGUCUAUAUAAAUGUCUCAAUUAGAUUCUCGCUGGAUUUGACACUCUUUUAAGCUUCACAAUGCACAGAUGCACAUUGAAAACUUAACUGUGAGGCAUGCAACUUGAUUGACCUUGACCUUGGCCUAGUUAAUUUGAUUUGAUGAACCUGAUAAAUGAAUAUCUUUGGCAUGAUUUAAGUUGUCUAAAAAAAAAAAACUGAGAAAGAAAGAAAAAAAAUGACCAGUUGACGUUCGUAGCCUUUCCAACUCGAGCUAUUAAGCCCUAGGAGUGUCUAUACACUUAGCACCCUAAAGCCAUCUGGUUUGGGAGUUGUUGGCCUAACACUUACUACAAGGGUUGGUUAGAAAGCUUAAAGGACUUAAACAUUGCACGGUCAUUCAAAAAAAAUUGUAAUAAGCAUGGUUCGUUGGAGUUCGUAGCCUUUCCAACUUAAGCUAUUAAGCCCUAGGAGUGUCUCUACACUUAACAUCCUAAAGCCAUCUGGUUUGGGAGUUGUUGGCCUAACGCUUGAUACAUAGGUUGGUUAGAAAGCUUAAGGGACUUCAGCAUUGCACAACCAUUCUAUGUUUCGCUUAUGAGUUACAAUAAAUUGUCAACAAGCAACAAAAGUUGUCUUGUAAAUAAAAUCAUGCCUUAGGGACCUCAUUUAAAGGGGAAUUCAAUGAUUUGAAAACUUGUGCUUGGAAAUUGGAAAAGAAAGUAAAAGCCGCAUGUUGAGAAUCCAAUCCACUUUCACUGAAGUUAGAGUUGAUUUCCAUUUAAGAGAUGACAAUUGAGUUAUUUAUAUGGACUAUGAUGUUGAUACAUGCAUGUUGAAAUGUGUUUAGUAUGACCCCAUCUCCAGCUCUUUUUCUGUUUCAAGUUAUUUUUGAGCUAUGUAUAUAUCUCAUUUUACUAUGGAUGAUAUUUUUGUAGUAGCAUGCCCAUGGUUGUCUUUUCAUUAAAUUUUUCAUUGUAGUUUUGUUAAGGGACUAGCAAAAUGUAAGUUUGGGGGUGUGAUAAGCGCCGAAUAUUGUAUAUUCAAGCGCCCUAAAUUGCAUUAGUAAAGUCUGUUGUAUGUUAAUUUAUAUAGAUUAUCUUCAUUUCUAUGUUUUUAUGCAUUUUCAGGUUCAUUGGCCAAAAUGGAACAAGAAUAAGGCCUUGUGGAAUCUUGAGCAACAAAAGGUGCCAAUGCUGAAUUCUGGCAGCAGUAGAACCUGGACUUUGCUCACCAUUUUGACCUUCCAAACUCAAGAACUGGACUUCCCUCAUAACAUAAAAUAUUUAGAUCUCUGAAUUAGCUUUCUAAAUCUUCAAACGGUUUGUCAUUCGGAGCUCGGAGCAGAGAGUUAUGGACUUGUUACCAGAGGUGCGCAGAACUGCCUGGCAGCAAUGAAAUUCUGCCUUGAUCUUCAUUUUUGACCAACCAUUCUUGAGAAUUGGAUCUCUACCAAAACAUGAAGUAUUUAAAUCUCUGAAUUAGCUUUCCAAAUCUUCAAACGGUUCAUCAUUCAGAGUUUGGAACGCAAAGUUAUGGCCAUUUCAUCAAAGUAGGUCCAGACGGAGCAAAUGGAGAAUAGGGCAUUCUGCCCAAUUUUUGAGUGCUCGAGGCCCUAUUUCGAGCACUCGAAAUUAGGGCAGAAUUCUACACGACUCAGCCCACUUGUGCUCAGAUUUUACCUACUUUGAAAGCUUUCCUUUAUGAGUUGGUUGGAGAUGUUUCUUAGAGGAGAGAGAGAGCUUUUUGGGUGGAUUUCUUAUCUAGAUAAAGAGGGGAGAGCCACACAUUUUCAUUAUCCUUCAUUCUACAAGAUUUUGGAGAGAGAAGAGAGCAAGGAGAGAGAGUUCUUCAAGCUUGAAGAAGGGAGCACGAAAAUGGAGGAGGUCUUCAAGAUUCUUCCUUCUUCCAUUGCUCCUAUGGGUAACUAAAUCUUCUCUAGGGAGGUGAUGAAGCUCCUCCCUUGUAAGCAUGUGCUAGUGUAGAUUUUAUUUUGGGGAGAACAAUGUAUAGUUUUUGGUUAUUUUAUGAUCUAGAGCAUCAUAUUUGUUGUAAUGAACUUUAAUGUCUAUACAUGAUUAUUUUGAGUUA